rnacentral:sRNA from 18 species
GGGUUACUCCUUGGCGUUUACGCGCUGGUUUAAUAAAGAUUCGCCCCCCUAUCAAACUGGGUAACCCCACCCUUUGGCAAGGCCUUCUGUCCGAUCAAGUCGGAACUACUACACCUGAAGCCAGCCUAUAUCAAUCUGAUUACUACUGUAGUCGUUCGGUGAACGAUUUCAUCAUCAACUGCUAAGUUGACUACUUUGCAUUGCCCGUUA